GGAGAGUCGAUAAUCUUAAAUUGCACUCGGAAUAUGUGAGGAAGACAAAUUGCAAGGCAGUUUUAUUCCGUGGACAAUAGUUAUAAUAAUUUCAUUAAAUACAUUAAAAACUUGAAUUUUAUUUACGCAAAAAUAAUAUUAUAGAACGAAAGUAGCUCUUAUUACAUAACACUUAAAUAAUAAUAUCAUAGAUAACUAAACAAUAAUUAAUAUUUUAAUUAAUAAUUAUGUCUAUAGGACCAAAAUUAUACAAAAUAUAACAAAAAAUAAAAAUAAAUAGUAUAUAAAUGUCAACACUUAACUAUUUUAUUCGUGUAGAUAAUUUCUUGUUUUUUCUGUUUCCCCUACUCUUCAUUCGGCCGACGCGUUGCUCUUCUAGAACUCUUAUUGAACAUACUGGCCUAUUUGAAUUCCUUGUCUACUUCCGAUUUUGUUUUUCAAAAUUCAACUGAAACCAAUGAUGAAGAUAAAAUAGAAUCAUUUGUUAAGCGUAUCCAAAGAAGUCCUUACUCUUCCCACAAUACGCCGACUUUCAGAACUGUCAGCAUCACUUAGUUUAGAAACAGGAUUUUCGGAAACAACUGUUAAAUAUCUGAAGACUCAUUUGAACUCUUUUCAAAAUAAUAAAGAUAAAAACCUUAGUGUUGUGUUUGAUGAAAUGUACUGCACAAGACGAGUCGAGUACUACCUUGGAUCGUUUUUGGACUAGGAGAAGCGAUGCAUUCCGUAUCCAAGUUGAAUGUUGAAACUGUAUUUUUUUUUUUUUGACCAAUUUGAUCAAGUCGUUUCUCAAAUUGGAUUCAAAGUUCGUUCUACAAUUUGUGAUGCCCACAAAAUAAAUCAAAAAACGUACUCCUCUGAGCUUUGUUAUGGAAAUCGUAGGCCUAUAUUUUCAAUCCUUACAGUCCAAAAUCUAAAAUCUAUUUACUUGUUGACUCAGUUCAUGUCAUGAAGAACUUCAGAAGAAAAUUUAUGAAAGGGAAAGUUUCACAUAGGUGUUUACAAUUUUGAACUAGGAAACCCCCUUAAAAUUGUCCACAAAGUAACUGAGAGGGUAUUGAAACCCCGAUCAAUAGAAAAAUUGAUUGUGAAGAUUACGGAUAGUUUGUUCAUGAGUCAACGAUAACUGCACUUAGACAUUAUCGAGAAAGAAAUGGUAAAAGAGAUUGGCUUGUCACGGCGGACUUAUUUGAAUUAUUUUUGACAUGGUGGAUGAUUGUAAAUACACGAUCCCCACGAGUUGGAAGUUACAAGAGAAAUGAAUGGAAAAAACAAUUACUUGGGACCGUUCUCUGCUUCACUUUUUAGAAAAUUCGUCAUGUUGGCUCAAUGAAUGGGAAAGACUAGGAAACAAAGCAACAAGUCUCACUAAGGAUACGUUUUUAGCAGGUAAACAAACAUCAACUGGACUUUAUAUGAAGUUUCAAGAAUGACUAAAUGAGGUCGACAUCAACCAUAUUCUUUUAGGACAGAUACAUUCUGAUCCCAAUGAAGCUCAAUUUGGCCUUUACAAAAGAAGGUGCGGCGGCACCAACCUAGAUUUGAGCGUAAGGCAGUACUUAGAUGCAGAAAAGUGCAUAAGAAUAAAGAAUGUUAUUAAAAUAGAUAUUCCUUUAAAAGCUAUAAGAAAUAUCUUUUCUUUUGAUGUUAACAGAAUGGACGCGAACAUGGAAGCAAUUUCCUUAAACAUUGUUUCCGAAUUAAAAAGUAGAAACUUCUCUCAAUUUGUUAAUAACUCAAAAUAAGCAGCUAUUUGUAACCAUUACGAAUGUACUUGCCACAAACAGAAAAUUAUAUUUGGAUGAACUAGAAAAUGGAUUUUUUCUUAGAUAGAUACUGAAUCCUUUUUUCACUUCCGGGAGAAUAAAAUAUUUCUGUUAUUCGAUUUGUUACAUAUCUUCCAAAAAAUUUAUAACAACUUUACUAGCAAACGAAAAUUUUCAUGUCCAUAUUAACAAGUUCCAAUUUCAAAAAAAAAUCUCUAAAAUGAGUAUAUUAUUGAAUUCGGGCAUGUGACCCAAAUCUACUAGAUGAUACUAGGCUAGUUUAAAUUAGCUCACAAACGCAAUCAUAAAUUAAUUGCUCCUCUACCAAUAAAGUGUAAUGUUUCUUCACGAGUCCACUCUGAGUGCACUUAACCAUGAUGUGUCGAAAAAUGAUCAAUUCAGAAGCUUCAAAGAAACAGGACAAGUAAUGGAUAUUCUUAAGUACUUUUGGAAUUGCAUAAAUGUAAACCGAGACAUCCGAGACAUUUCAUACCACCUAUCAAACAUCUAUAGGACUAUCCCAUUUAACCAUAUAUUUACUGGAUAAAGAUAUAGUUAAGUUUAUUUUUUCUUCGUAAAAUUAAUUCGGACCCAAUAGAAAGGCGGAAAGGGUGGUAUAGACAACUUUCUAUCAUUGGUCGAGAGUUUUUUGAGACUGAAAAAAAAUCGCAUUAGUCAAGGUUAAUAGAAAUACAAGGUAAGACCAUCAUGUAAUUGGGCUUGCUAGAAUUUUCAAUUUGAUGUAUCGUACCGACUUCUUGGCCAGACAGGCAGAUUUUCACAUAACAAGUAACCAAUCAUAGUCUAUAAAGUCACUAAAGAGUGUUUCGUACAAAUAGAUGGCUGCCAACAGCAGAAGGGUAACACACAAUUUUUCUCCUUUUUAUUCUAUAGGUUGUGCAUCCAGUUAAUAUAUAGGUCGGUGUGUGGAAGUCAAACAUCAGUCGUACACGCGUUAUGGUAUAAUCUUGUAUUUCUAUUGACCUUGGUGUUAGCCUACUUUUAAAAUUACUAUCCUCAAUUUUAGUCGAUGCAAAGGAGUCUAAUUAUAUAAGUGAAGAAGAUGUUUCUACAUUUAUCAGCCUUAUAUCUUCCAAUUCUGCAAUGGAAUUAGAUUCACUUAAAGGUUUGGAGCCGCUCAUUUAUUUUGUAUGUGACUAUGUUACCCAUUCUAUUUUAAAACUGUUAAAUCGGGAGUGAAUCGAUGAAUUGGGAAAAUAUAAAGAAUUAGACUCCUUUUUUUAUGAAAUUAAUAGAAGUAGUUUAAAAAAGUCCAGUGAUGUAAUCUAUCUUCUUGGAGGAUAUCUAUAUGGACUGUUACAAUAUAUUUUUUUGACA
rnacentral:lncRNA from 1 species